rnacentral:rRNA from 1 species
UACGAAGGGGGCUAGCGUUGUUCGGAAUUACUGGGCGUAAAGGGCGCGUAGGCGGUGUGUCAAGUCAGGCGUGAAAGCCCCGGGCUCAACCUGGGAACCGCGCUUGAUACUGGAGAGCUUGAGUCCGGGAGAGGUGAGUGGAACUCCGAGUGUAGAGGUGAAAUUCGUAGAUAUUCGGAAGAACACCAGUGGCGAAGGCGGCUCACUGGCCCGGUACUGACGCUGAUGUGCGAAAGCGUGGGGAGCAAACAGG